UCCAAAAUUUUCCCAUAUUUUUCGAAAAGUCGAAAGUCGGGAUAUUCACACAAAGUCGGGAUAAUUCCGACCAUUUGGCAAACCUAGACUUAAUACUGCAGAUUUGGCCAUGAACAUUCCAUCAAGGAAUAACGAAAAUGUAUUCCUCUAGCCGAACGUAGAAUAGAUGCCCAAGUGCCUCAAUCUUCUGCACUUCUUAUCCAAUAUCUGACACCCAGUUUCGAGAUGUUGCUCUCCACUUGGUCACGCCAUCGAAGUUUUGGUUUUCCCCUUUUAAUCAAUUCUGCCGAAUAAUCCAACGCAAACGUUGAUAUUUUUAUGCAUUUAACUAUGCUAUCAUCGUCAUGCAGCUCGUAGAUCAUAUGACGCAUAUAUUCUCCAUUAACGCAACUGGUCCAUAUAUUUUAAGAAGAAUUUUUUCUCUCAAACACUUCAA